GGUGACACGCUGUGUGUACCAUACUUGUCAUCCCAGUACAUUGUGCUAAUCCGAUAUAACUGCUGGAUGCUGAGGACCUGCAAAUAGAGGAAUUAGGUUGGGAAUUGUUCAGGUUUCUGGUGUAUGACCUGAACAAAACAAAGGGUGGAAAAGAUGAGUUUGCUGUAUUGGCUAUCUUACCAUCGGAACAAGUGCAGGUAGAAAGAUACCAGAAAUCCAAUCGCCUGUCUGAUAUGUUUCAACUCAUCCCACGCUGAACCUGCAUACUGCAUCGUUUUGGUAGAGGGAAGGAGGAGGGGCAGGGAAAAUGGGAGUAAGCUGCUGUUUGAAAAGCAAAGCUGGGUACUUGGCUUCAACUUGACGCAAUGUGUCUACUCCACCACUUAUGCUACCAUUGAUUAAGGAGAGGUUAACUCCUGUAGGGGCUCCACGGAAACUCUGAAACAACAAGAAGAAUUAUUUGAAGAGUGAAAGCUUCUCUAGAGGUAUUGCUCUGUUCAAAUAAGAACACCGUGUUUACCUGUGUCAUUCUCCCAAAUAGGGUUGCGGAUGAAGAACGACGGCGUUGUGGGGCCAUGCCAGCAGCACCACUAGCCUUAAGUGUGCGCUGGAGUAACAAUAGAAGCGUGGAUGCAUUGGAUAACCAAUAAGCCAAGACAUCAUUGUUGUCCUGGGUCUGAAAGUCCAAAUAAAUAUUUGAGUUAGAAGGUUAGAGACAUCAAGAGUAAUAAA